UAGAGCAUCGGAACUAGAGACCGGCGCACGGGUGCGUAACGCGUAUGCAAUCUACCUUUUACAGAGGGAUAGCCCAGAGAAAUUUGGAUUAAUACCUCAUAGUAUAAUGAGUUGGCAUCAACACAUUAUUAAAGUCACAACGGUAAAAGAUGAGCAUGCGUCCCAUUAGCUAGUUGGUAAGGUAACGGCUUACCAAGGCUACGAUGGGUAGGGGUCCUGAGAGGGAGAUCCCCCACACUGGUACUGAGACACGGACCAGACUCCUACGGGAGGCAGCAGUGAGGAAUAUUGGACAAUGGGCGCAAGCCUGAUCCAGCCAUGCCGCGUGCAGGAUGACGGUCCUAUGGAUUGUAAACUGCUUUUAUACGAGAAGAAACACUCCGACGUGUCGGAGCUUGACGGUAUCGUAAGAAUAAGGAUCGGCUAACUCCGUGCCAGCAGCCGCGGUAAUACGGAGGAUCCAAGCGUUAUCCGGAAUCAUUGGGUUUAAAGGGUCCGUAGGCGGUUUAAUAAGUCAGUGGUGAAAGCCCAUCGCUCAACGGUGGAACGGCCAUUGAUACUGUUAGACUUGAAUUAUUAGGAAGUAACUAGAAUAUGUAGUGUAGCGGUGAAAUGCUUAGAGAUUACAUGGAAUACCAAUUGCGAAGGCAGGUUACUACUAAUUGAUUGACGCUGAUGGACGAAAGCGUGGGUAGCGAACAGGAUUAGAUACCCUGGUAGUCCACGCCGUAAACGAUGGAUACUAGCUGUUGGGCGCAAGUUCAGUGGCUAAGCGAAAGUGAUAAGUUCCCACC
rnacentral:rRNA from 1 species